rnacentral:rRNA from 1 species
UACGUAGGCAGCGAGCGUUGUUCGGAGUUACUGGGCGUAAAGGGUGUGUAGGCGGUUUUCUAAGUUUGGUGUGAAAUCUCCCGGCUCAACCGGGAGGGUGCGCCGAAAACUGGGAGACUAGAGUGCGGGAUGGGAGAGUAGAAUUCCUGGUGUAGCGGUGAAAUGCGUAGAUAUCAGGAGGAAUACCGGUGGUGUAGACGGGCUCUCUGGACCGCCACUGACGCUGAGACACGAAAGCGUGGGUAGCAAACAGG